CCCUCUUCUCCUCCUUCACAUUUUCAAAAAAUCUAGAACCGCCGCCGCUGCUCUCUUCGAUCUCAGUGUGUCCACAACGUUCUCCAUCCUUCCUCUUCAGUCUUCAAACAUCGCUAGCGUGGGAAUGCUAGAGUGUUGUCGUCCGAUUGUUGCUGUCAGUUAUACUCGCGCAACUUCUCCUUCCUCCUCUGUCCGAGCAACAGGUUGGAUGCAUCAGAAUUAUUCCCCCUAUUCUAUCAUCGGCCUUCUCUAUUCGUGCAGCAGCAGUGCCAGAUCUUUCCCCCAUGUCUCACAGAUCAUCAUAAUUCCUCUUCACGGUACUAUUAUGAUCUGUGUAAUAGAGCUGCAAAUUCUUUCUUUUCAGAUCUCCCUAAUUUCCCUUGGCGCGCCAUGGUACACCUAGCUAGGAGGGUGUUUAUAAGAGGUGCUAGCCCCGUGUGAUGGCCAAUGCACGUGAAACAGAGGGAUGUUAUUCGUGAGCAUCAUACUCACGUUUGUUUCAUGGCUUUAAGUCACAUUUGAUUAGCAUUACCCUCGUGGACUGUAUGUCCACGUUUGUCUCAUGGUUUCGACCGUAUUUGGUUACUUACUCUCGUGGACUAAGUGUCUACGUUUGUUUUUGUGGCAUAAGCCGCAUUUGGUUAGUUACUCUCGUGGAUUGUAUGUCUACAUUUGUUAAUUAUUCUGAU